rnacentral:lncRNA from 1 species
AGUAGCCUUGAAAAAUAUGCACAGGAUAUUUUAGCCCCGGAAGGGAAACUUUGCAUAUCUUAAAAGUCAAACAAAAGUACAAUUCUCGUAAAUGUCUGCCUGGAAGAGACUUCAAGACACCUGUGAGUGGAAGGAAAGUCAGAAGUUAAACUCGAUGAAUGCAGUCUUGUUUUCUCCCUGCUUUGCUCAUGGUGCUGUCCACCGUGCCUAGAACAGUGCCUGGCACAUGCGAAUUUGUCUGACCACCUCAUAAAAGAAUACAAAACAGGCACACAUACCAAAAACAAUCUUGGAGACCACUACCCUAGAAGUCUUUGAGGCCUUCUUCAAGCACGAUAUAAGCCUUUCUUCAAUAUUCGCUUAGCCUCUGCUUGAACUAUUCCAGCAUGCUUUUAAACUCACCGCCUCUUGAAGAAGCUGACUAUAUUAUUGGAGUAGGCUGCCUGCAACAAGCAAGCAGUCCUGACAUUGGCGUUUUCCAGGUGAAAAGAGAAGAAUGGAAAGAGUUGGUAGGGCCACUGCUUUUAUCUUUAGGUAUGAUUCGGAAGCACGGAAAAGUGAGUUAAUCACCUGAUCCCUGAAAAAUAUUGAAGUGCUCUUGCCUACCUCGACAAGGGCACUAGAGGGUUUUUGACUAAAACACUCCAGGGCCAGUUAGGCCAAAGCAACUUUUCCUCACUCUAUCAUUCAAAUAUCACCUUUCCCGUGAUAUAUGCAGUAAAUAAUCCACAGAUCAGCAUCGUCAUUUAAUUCAGAGAACUGAACAAGAAUCUUUGACAUAUUUGAAUUUGGAAUCUAGAGGAAAAUGAAGUAUUUCCUGUAAGAACUUUCCUUUAAUCAUUAGUAAAUCUCAACAAGGCAGUGUGAAAAUAAUUUUCUCUGACCCAGCAAACAAACAAACAAACCACAAAAACAUCUGUUUCUACUUUCCCAAAGUGGAAAUGAUGA